rnacentral:rRNA from 1 species
AGCGGCGGACGGGUGAGUAAUGCCUGGGAAAUUGUCCUGAUGUGGGGGAUAACCAUUGGAAACGAUGGCUAAUACCGCAUAAUAGCUUCGGCUCAAAGAGGGGGACCUUCGGGCCUCUCGCGUCAGGAUAUGCCCAGGUGGGAUUAGCUAGUUGGUGAGGUAAUGGCUCACCAAGGCGACGAUCUCUAGCUGGUCUGAGAGGAUGAUCAGCCACACUGGAACUGAGACACGGUCCAGACUCCUACGGGAGGCAGCAGUGGGGAAUAUUGCACAAUGGGCGCAAGCCUGAUGCAGCCAUGCCGCGUGUAUGAAGAAGGCCUUCGGGUUGUAAAGUACUUUCAGCAGUGAGGAAGGUGGGUAUGUUAAUAGCAUAUUCAUUUGACGUUAGCUGCAGAAGAAGCACCGGCUAACUCCGUGCCAGCAGCCGCGGUAAUACGGAGGGUGCGAGCGUUAAUCGGAAUUACUGGGCGUAAAGCGCAUGCAGGUGGUUUGUUAAGUCAGAUGUGAAAGCCCGGGGCUCAACCUCGGAAUUGCAUUUGAAACUGGCAAA